rnacentral:lncRNA from 1 species
UUGAAUAUAUUAUAUUACGUUUGGAGGAUUAGACCUCUCUAUAUAUACAUAAAGCUGCAGCUAUCAAGAGUCCAAGUAGAACUCUAGUAUGUGAGUUUAAGCUAAUCCUAUAUCCACUAGAUAAGGGAAUGCAAUUGCAAACUAUACAUUUGAAUUUUAAAAUCAAAACACUAUCAUUAUCUAUUAGGCAAUUUCUUUAUCCUUACAGCUCCCCGCAAGUGCUUUGAUGGUACAACCAUAGCAAGCUUGUCCUUGAGAAAUAGAAACUGGCGUGUAGCAAGACUUUUUGAUGUACCAAAAUGUUUAGAGGAACUCUCUAAUG